rnacentral:rRNA from 1 species
GACGAACGCUGGCGGCGUGCUUAACACAUGCAAGUCGAGCGGUAAGGCCCUUUCGGGGGUACGACGAGCGGCGAACGGGUGAGUAACACGUGGGUGACCUGCCCUCCAGCUCUGGGAUAAGCCUGGGAAACGUGGGUCUAAUACUGGAUAUGACUCCACGGUGCAUGUCGUGGGGUGGAAAGCCUUGUGCGGCUGAGGAUGGGCCCGCGGCCUAUCAGCUUGUU